rnacentral:rRNA from 1 species
UCGAGCGGGCCCUUCCGGGUCUCCGGCGGACAGGUGAGUAACGCGUGGGAACGUGCCUUCUGGUUCUGAAUAACUCACGGAAACUUGAGCUAAUACCGGAUACACCCUUUUGGGGAAAGGUUUACUGCGCGAAAAUCUGCCCCCGUCUGAUUAUCUAUUUGGUGGGGUAACGGCCCACCCAGGCGACAAUAACUAUCUGGUCUGAGAGGAGGAUCACCCCCACUGGGACUGAGACACGGCCCACACUCCUACGGGAGGCGGCACUGGGGAAUAUUGGACAAUGGGCGCAAGCCCGAUCCCCCCCUGCCCCGUGAGUGAUAAAAGCCUUAUGGUUGUAAAGCUCUUUUAUCCCGGACAAUAAUGACAGUACCCGAGGAAAAAACCCCGGCUAACUUCUUGCCCCCACCCCCGGUAAUACAAAAGGGGCUAUCGUUGCUCGGAAUCACUGGGCGUAUAGGGGGCGUAUGCGGCGUUUUAAAUUUGGGGUGAAAACCUGUGGCUCACCCACACAAUUGCCUUCUAUACUGGGACACUUGAGUGUGGUAUAGGUUUGUGUAGCUGCGAGUGUAUAGAUGAAAUUUUCAUAUAUUCUCACAAGCACCGCUGUCGCAAGCGGCCCACUGGAGCCUCACUGACACUCAGACGCGAAAGCGUGUGGAGCUAACACGAUUAGAUACCCUGGUAUACUACACCGUAUACAC